GUACGGGAGGCAGCAGUGGGGAAUAUUGGACAAUGGGCGCAAGCCUGAUCCAGCCAUGCCGCGUGUGUGAAGAAGGCCUUCGGGUUGUAAAGCACUUUUGUUGGGGAAGAAAAGACCGCGGUUAAUAACCGUGGUUCAUGACGGUACCCAAAGAAUAAGCACCGGCUAACUUCGUGCCAGCAGCCGCGGUAAUACGAAGGGUGCAAGCGUUACUCGGAAUUACUGGGCGUAAAGCGUGCGUAGGCGGUUUGUUAAGUCUGUCGUGAAAGCCCCGGGCUCAACCUGGGAAUGGCGGUGGAUACUGGCAGGCUAGAGUACGGUAGAGGAUGGUGGAAUUCCCGGUGUAGCAGUGAAAUGCGUAGAGAUCGGGAGGAACAUCUAUGGCGAAGGCAGCCAUCUGGACCAGUACUGACGCUGAGGCACGAAAGCGUGGGGAGCAAACAGGAUUAGAUACCCCGGUAGC
rnacentral:rRNA from 1 species